rnacentral:rRNA from 1 species
GCUUAGCCCUAAACCAAAACAACUCAAUAACAAAUCUGUUCGCCAGAGUACUACUAGCAAUAGCUUAAAACUCAAAGGACUUGGCGGUGCUUUAUAUCCAUC